UAAACCUGGGAAGAGCAGGCCAGAGGGUUGUGUCACCCCACAGCUGCCAUGCCUGGGGAGGGGAGACCAAAGCUAGUAACCGGCCCAUUGUCAACCCUGCAACACAGACAGCCCCAGGGAGGCCCUGAAUGGGGCCAGCUUCCCUCCUGGGCAGCUGUGGCCCGCGCCGCCUGAGCAGGGCCUACGCCCGCUUCACUGGCGCGCCGCUCAAAGUUCACAAGGUCACCAACCCGUGGCGGAGUCCCUCAGGGUGUUUGCCAGCUCUGAGGACGAAGGAGGAUGGUGUCCUCUCCCAGGUGCCACAGAUCCUCACUCCC